rnacentral:rRNA from 1 species
UACGACGGGGGCUAGCGUUGUUCGGAAUUACUGGGCGUAAAGCGCGCGUAGGCGGAUCGCUAAGUCAGGGGUGAAAUCCCAGGGCUCAACCCUGGAACUGCCUCUGAUACUGAUGAUCUGGAGAUCGGGAGAGGUUGGUGGAAUUCCGAGUGUAGAGGUGAAAUUCGUAGAUAUUCGGAGGAACACCAGAAGCGAAGGCGGCCAACUGGCCCGAUACUGACGCUGAGGCGCGAAAGCGUGGGGAGCAAACAGG